AAAUAAUAUUUGAAGAGGAAAAAAACUCACUCGAUAUCAUGGGAGAGAGAGUGUACGAAAAUUGGUACAUAGAGCGAACCUUAUUGUGAAUGUGUUCUUAGUCGUACGGGGCUGAAAAAUCUGAUACUGGACGAGGUUGAGAAUUAGUUUAAUUACGUCUAUAUCGGAUAGGGUAUUGAGACAGUUUAUAAUUGUAGUGCUCGUUACCGGAUGAGGU
rnacentral:lncRNA from 1 species